AGUUGCGUAACCCCGGCCUUAUCUGAGCUGCAUCUUUAUCUCUCAAUUAUUAUUUUGAUGUGUGUGUACGUGAAUAUAAUGAUUGCGUCCAUCUCAUCGGCAGCGUAACAUUCUCGUAAUCACGUCCCCAACGCCACGCGAGCGCAAAAACAACAAUUAGAUUUUUUCCGACGACCCCGAGCUUAUCUUGCUGUGGCUGACUGAAAUGUUGACAGUCACGUUUUCUGGUACGCGUCUUCUAAUUACUCGGAACGAUUCAUUUUUAUCUAGAGGACAAUCAGAACGUUUUGCAAGUUCUUAUAUGUUCCGAGAAAAUUGCGUUAGAGUUAUUGACCGGAAUCAAUUGACAUUUCAGUUGCGUCAGAAAAAUUGUGCUGUUAUCUUGUCUUCGAGCAUUGUGUUGAAAGAAAAAAAUCAUCAAAUUGCAAAAACUAUCUUGUAGAAUCAAUCUUGAGACGGUGGUACAAAUAAUUUGUUUUAAAUGCAGAAAGUAUACUAUUUGCAUUUCAAAUGAUGCUGAUUCAUUUAUCACUGGAUAUUUUCUGUCCAAAUUCACCAUCUAUAAAUUCAUUAUUAUAAAUUUUAUUGGUUACAAGAGAGAGAAUAAAAUCAA